ensembl:lncRNA
UUUGCUUGUGUCCAAGGAGUGCAGACUGACCAAAAAUCGUUCCCUCAACUGUCCACCACUCUACCCAACAGUCCUUUCAAUCCCUGAUCAGUUUCAAUUUACAAGUGACACAGAAACAAAGACAUGCUGUAAUACACACAGGCUAAGUGGCUGCAGACCUUCCAAUUUUGAUUACUUCCUGAAGCCUUCUUGCCAAGUUUUGACAGAACGCACAAAGCACUGCUAUGCUUUGUUAGUGGCUGGCACAAAGCCUGUUUUUAUGCUGACAGUUGGCUUCAGACUUAACUGGAACGCUGUUUAAUGGGUUUCCUGGUCCAGUGUAGCGGACCUGAAAGUUACAGUACAAAGGAGCAGCUUUGGGGCUAUAGGGCACACUUGGUAGCAUGGAUAGUGUAUAUGCGAUCAUCUGUGUAUCUGUUACAGCAAUGGAAAACUACCUGUCCUGCCACAUGCAUGUCACUGCCCAUCAAUACCCAAGCAGGAUGUGGGGUGCAAAGUCCUUCAUUUUCUGUCUACACUGCUUUGCUUGGGAGAGGAUGACCACAUAUGUGAUCACAGAUACACUGUAUCCAUGCUCACCUUUGAAAUCAUGUUCAUCCCCAUGGCAUCCCCUGUCUUAGACUGGAAAGCGGAUAUAAAGGUUUCGUCCAGCCAUACUGGUGUGAAGUUUCUGUAGACGUGCAAAUCUGUGAACCAAAGAAGCAAAGACUUUAUUUCACUCUUUUCAGUUACUUCAUGCUUACAAGAAAGCUCAUCAAGAUUACUUAUUUUCUUCUUCAACAAAACAACAUAUGAGAGAUACUAUUUCAAUUCAGCUAAUUCUUAGAUGCUGAAGAUGGUGGGCUGUAAGACAGUCAUUUCUUAGUAAGCUUAAAAAGUCCAAAUGAAAACAAACACUAGCCUGAUACAAUGACUACAAUUCUUGUUAAUUUCAACUUCUGCAUUCAAAGUAAACCUGCUAUACUAAUGUUUCUAUACUCCUUAGCAAGUCUUUUCUCCAAAGACAGUUCUCCCCAAAGACAAAGUGGUAUUAUCAUUAAAGUUAUUAUCUCAUAUUUUGUAUUAGUUUUCUCUAGGAAGGCAAUGAUUUGAAUCAACAUCCCCUAACUGAGCAUAAGUAUUGCUCAUUCUAAAUGACUGAAUUCAAAGCUUGAUUAUGUUGUUAUGUCAAGCAGGCAAUAUAUUAAAUAAUGUUUAGCAAUAAGAGAAAAUGGCAGUGGUUUUGAAAUAAAUGUAAAUGUACAAAUAAACCCACUCACACACCUGCUGGUGCUAUCAAAGGCCUCCUUUAUCACUGCAAACCCUUCAGGGGUUUCAAGCCAGGCCUUCACUUCUGCAGAGUCACAAGCACGGGGAAGACGCACCACUGGGCCACGAGUCAUCCCGUCCGCAAGGACUCGGCUGCUGGCUCCUCCACCAAGCUACGCAGAUUAUUACAGAAACACUUAUUAAUCCUGAAAAUGCUUCUACUUGUCCCAAAAGGUGUCCUUUUUCUUAUCCAAAUCUGUUCUGGGUGCCUUGCCACAGGUUUAUUUUUAAAAUGAAAAAACAGAUAAAUUCCAACUU